GCUGGUUCUUCCAGGAGCGCGCAUGAGCGGACGCUGCCUACUGGUGGCCGGGCGGGAUGUAACCGGCUGCUGAGCUGGCAGUUCUGUGUCGCUAGGCUUCUGCCCGGCCGCCGCCGCACAUAAGCCACGAGGAGGAGCUUUACGACUUCCCGGUCUUCGGCGCCGGGCGCAGCAAGGGCCAGACUCUGCGCUAGCAGGCGCUGCGCGCCAACCGGCCGGCACCUGUCGCAGAAGGUGCAACCGAUCGCACUGUCGCGCAGAAGCUCCUCAAUGGCCAGCGCCAGCUGCAGCCCCGGCCGCCCACUCGCCUCAUCUGAGCCUGGGCAAAUCUGGAUUGGGAAAGUUGACAUUAAUCAACUCAUUAUUCCUCACAGAUUUGUAUUCUCCAGAGUAUCCAGGUCCUUCUCAGAGAAUUAAAAAGCCUGUACAGGUCUAGAUAUUGGUAUUUUUAAUUGAUGAUAAGCUGGAAUAAUAUUAAUACACACAAAGCACGUGUUGUAACUUUCAUUAUGCUUCCUUAGAGCUCUGUUCACGGAAAGGGCCUGGGAGCUGCAACACCUCAACAGCAACAAGCACACCUGCUACCUAGAACUUGGUUUCUAAAAACCAUCCUCCUCUAAAAGGAAACAGAGCUCUUUGAAGAAACGCAGAAGGUAAGCAUGAGCAAAUUACUUUUUAGAGGUAACUUUGCUGAACUUGUGAAGAAUGGUGUGCAAGGUCCAGAGCGACUGCAGGAGAGGGAAGGUGGGAUUCCCACAGAGCAGGAGCACAGAUAAGCCAAGCAAGGCCCUGCUUGGAAGGCAGCAAUCAACAGAGAUGCACAGACCUGUGAGGGUGCCGGGACAGCCAUGCAACAAUGCAGCCCUUUUGCUUCCUGAGCUCACCAGUUCCCUCGCUCCACCUCUGAGAGGUGGUUUGGAGAAACACAGCCCUUCUCAAGAGGGCUGCAAGCUACUUAAGUCCUGAAAAUUUCCACAAGGCUGAGUCAAAUCUGCGUUUCAUCAUCUAUAAGAAAGGUACCUAUCGAGAACACCCUGCUGGCCAGUGUGUAAAUAUCUAAAGGAGGACUCAGAAAACACCGGGGAAGUCCAGCCUGCACGUGGUGGCUGGGCUUCAGUGAAGCAUGCAGCACAACAGGAGUUAGCAGCCAUGCACUGCCCAGGCUGGAAGUAUGCUCAACCACAAGGGUCAGGGCUGGGAGAGGCGCUUCGGUAGC
rnacentral:lncRNA from 1 species